GUUUUUAUGGUGUAAUAAACACGUUACAUUUUCGUUGUAAAACUGAAACAUUCUGUUUCUAAAAACU
rnacentral:tRNA from 1 species